GAUUUGUGCAUGUUAGCAAAUGUUCACACAAAUACUGACUAAUUUAUUAUUUCUUCUCUGACAGCCAUCAGAAGUUUUUGUUCCCAGAAGUUUCUUGAAGACAUACAUAACUCAUAAAGCAAAGUCUUGCUAUGGUCUACCUACAAAACUCCCAAACCUGGAGCCUUCAAACAGAUGGAAGAAAAGCAACUUAAUGUCUGCCAAAGAAUGCAGGAAGGAAUAGCUUGAUAAGCCAGAGGAGCAGGCAUAAACAAAGAGACCAUUUGGGCGAUUUUGGUGCCUUUCUGUUACUUUACUCACCUUUUUAUUAAGACUGCAUCUAUGCAGAUCAGUUUCUUCACUUCCAGACUGUAAGCGUGCUGCUCAGCCAAAAUUCUGAUCCUAAUGAAUGUAACUCGACUGCCCUGUCUUUCCUCCUUCCUCAUUUUCAUGAAUGUGUACUUCUAAGCCCCUCUAGCAGACAAUUUACACUUGGAGGGAGAAGAACAUCCCCUGAAGCUGGUAACCUAUCAACCUCAGUUGCAUGUGCAUGUAUAACGCAUCCUGUAAGCUGGUACUAUGAAAUUAGGUGCCCUGUAUGUAAAUCUCCUCUUGAAAUACAGAUGUGCUGUGAGCUGAUG
rnacentral:lncRNA from 1 species